rnacentral:lncRNA from 1 species
AUCCUUGGAAGAGGGAGAAAUUCCUUGGUUACAGUACAAUGAGGUCAAUGAAAGCAGCAGUGAUGAAGGAAAUGAGCCUGCCAAUGAAUUUGCACAGCCAGAAGCUUUCAUGUUGGAUGGUAACAAUAACCUUGAGGAUGACUCCAGUGUGAGUGAAGACUUAGAUGUGGACUGGAGGUAUGUAGCACAUCUUCCUUUCCUUCACAGUUCAUUUCAGGUGUCACUUCCUACAUGAACUUCUUACUUACUUUAGUCAAUGAGUUCUUCCUUCUUUGACUGUUAGCUUGCUUGACCUAGUUAGCUUGCUCACCUAGUUUAUACACUUAUGUUUGAGGUUUCAGACUUUAAAAUUUAGUUUUCUAUGCUAAAUGCAGCACUUACUCUGAUCCAUUAAAAAAAAAGUUGAGUAUUACUUAAAGACUUUCAAAACGUGAUUGAAUGAGAAGAGUCGUAAGACUAUAGUUUUCCUUCUCUUUAUGGAAAAUAUAAUUGUACCUUCCCAGAGAUGUUGGAUGUAUUAAAUUUACUUUACUCUGACAAAGAAUAGUGAUCUUCCAAUAAAAGUGACAUAAGUUAAGUAGAUUAUAGAAUUGUUAUAGUUUGUGAUAUAAUGAUCAAGAUUUAACUCUUCUGGUUUAUAACGUAGAUAAACCAAUGUGCAGUAUAACUUUUUGAAAGCCGUUGAUUAUUAAAAUGUAAAGAGAAUGUUCCAACUGAUUCCUUUUUGUUAACUUUUUCUGGAAAAAAAUAUGGCUUAUUACUAUCCUUGUUUCCAUCUCUGCAUAGACAUAUUUUGAAGAAUUUGUCUUAUUUUCCCAGUUAAAAUUCAAUUACAAAAAAAAAUUCCAUUACAGAAAAUUUGCAAAAAUAAAGGUAAGAAAAACUCAUUCAUAUCCCCUGAUAAAUCUGCAGGUUUCUAGAACUUAGGUUUUUAAGGCCUCCUUUGUGUCUUCAGUUUUUCUGAGUGUGGAGAGCUACUUCUUUGUACUUCUCCAAAUUGUUCUAGACACAAAAACUCAACAUCUCCAUGAAAUCCUCCUUACAUAGAGUUCCUGCUGUGGCUCAGCAGAUUAAGAACCCCAACAUAGUGUCUCUGAGGAUGCGGUUUUGAUCCCUGGUGCAGUGGGUUAAGGAUCCAGUAUUGCUACGAGAUGCAGUGUAGGUCGCAAAUACAGCUCAGAUCCUGCAUAGCUGUGGUUCUGGUGUAGCCCAGCAGCUGCUUUCCUAGUCAGCCCCUAGUCCAGGAACUUCCAUAUGCUUCACAUGCAGCAGCAUGAAGGAAAAAACAAAAUCCUCCUUACUAUUUCCUAUUCUUCCUCCCCAGGGGAAGAAAAAACAGCAUGUUCAGAGCAGACUUUUACUGACUGUAUUGUAGAAGUAAAAGGGGUUUCACCACAGCCACACAAGCAAUUAGUAAUUCCAUCCUAAACAUUCUCACUCUCUAAAACCUAUUUUCUUUCUUCCCAAACAUUACAGAAACUCAGCCAGUCUUAGUCUUGAUCUUGACACCCCCCUUCUUUUCUUCCCUUUCUUAUGUCUGCCCAUUACCUUCUUACUGAACCCCUGUUACUUCUGAUGUUUUCCCUGAUGACAUUGUGCAGUCAUUCCUCACAGUGCUCAGCAGAUGACACAGUUGUCUGUUUAGCAUCAUCUGUGCAUUUUGGGAGGCAAUUAUGGUUUCAUAUGAGGAAUUUUGUUCUUUUGCACAUUUUCAAAAUUUUAUAAAUAUAAUUAUUAUAGCUCCAUUAUAUAGAUGAUCCAUCCUACUAUCACACUAAAAUUUAAUUGACUAUUUUGUCAUUGAAAUAAUACAGUUAACUUCCCAUCCC